AUUUGGUCAACAGGAAGACCGAUCCAACACGGAUAUGGUGGAAAAGAAAGAGGUAUUCCAUGAUUACUUGUUUUCUAACAAGUACGAAGUCGCCGGGUUCGAUUUGGUCACCGAUGAAGUGAUGGCAGUUCAAUACCGCUCCAAGAAGGACUACAUUGCGACGAGCAAAAAGACCAAUGUUGUUAUCGCAGCUUUUACGACUGCGUACGCACGGCUACACUUAUUAAAAUUCAUGGAAAUGGUUGGAGACCGUUUGUUAUACCACGAUACAGACAGCAUUUUCUACAUCCAUAGAGACGAUUUGCCCGAUCCACCAACGGGAACGUGCUUGGGUGAUUUGUCCUCGUCUUUACAGCCUGACGAGUACAUUGACGAAUUUGUAGCGCUUGGACCAAAAAGCUAUGCUUACCGGACAAAUACUGGAUGUGAAACGAUAAAAGUCAAGGGAUUUACGUUGACUCGGCAAGCGAAAAAACAGCUAAACCUGGAAAGCCUGAAAGAGAUGCUACUGGAAAGCCUGGCAUCACCGGACCAGCCAAGCGGAAUUACCGUGAAUUAUCCGUUCAACAUAACACGCAAUAAGCGCAAGCUGGAAGUUUCGUCGGCGGAAAUUAACAAACGAUUUAAACUUACUUACUCAAAACGUAGAAUUGUUGACUCUGAUUUUAACACUCGCCCAUGGGGUGAUGUUUCGAUUGAGUAAAUCAUCAACUUCCAGUGCGGUGCAAUUGUUAAUAAAAGUCCUGACACUGUGGCUUGCUCCGAAAAAUGCUUCCAGCAGUAUUAUAAGAAUUAACAUAACAAUAAUGCAAGUCCCCACCACGGCUUCGCAAAAGUUUUUUUUUACACACAAUGCGCGCCAUUGUAACAAAAGUCACUUGUUUUUUUUUUCUAGAUUUUAUGCGUUCCGUGGUGCCUUUAAUACUUACUUCCUCCCGAAAGACUGUAAUUAGUUAACUAUUGUAUAAAAUUUUAACUACAUAUAUAUAUAUAUAUAUAGUAUUAUAGUAUGCACUAUGGACAUACACUAUACAAUUGUGAUGACUCAUAUUCUGGAGUUGGGAGCUGUAGUCAUAAAGUCCAACCGGGAAUUGCAGCUGGAAAGUGCAGCUCCCAACUCCAGUUUAUGACGUAACCGACGCCAUUUUAUGUUUAUACAAUAUACUGUUUCUUCUCCAGUGCUAUAAAAGAUUAAUGCCAUCUAAAUUCGAAUUACGAGUAUUUACCUGCAGGAUUACCGGUGCUUAAUAGUUAAUAUUAUAUCGAUAGUAUGGAAACUAUGGAUGGACCGAUCCAGUUGCGACUUUAAACUUUGCGACUCUUUUGAGUCUUUUCAGCAGGGUGUGCAACAAAUUAACACAUCUUUCCAUCAAAUUGACACAUCUUUUCUAAGGACGAGGGAGUAAUAUUCAAGUGCACCAUCUACAGAAAGUAAAGUACACUGGAACGAAUUAUACUGAGAGAACACUACCAAAUGGCUCCUAAAACUAGGAAGAGUGCAUUUACGUGCUUUACGCAUAAGUAUAGAUAUACGCGACAUUACGGGUACAUCCAAGGAUGCGUGCGCAUUGCAGUGUGCUUAUUUAUAGCUAAGCGAGCAUUGUACUUCCGAUCCAGAAAAAUCGAUCGCACUUUAAAAGCAGCUUUUCAAAAGGAUGUGGUGCCAAAAGCUGCGCAUCCAUAACCAGUUAUCAGUUUAAUCGCGGUCGAUUCAUUGGGUUAAGUGUGGCGAGUUGACGCUUCCAGCAUUUGUAGUAACUUAUAUCUAUAGAAGUAUGCUCACUAUAUAUACUGUAUUUUGUGGAUAGAACUCAUAUAAAUUUCUUUGCGUUUUUGGAACCCUUUUCUUUGUGUACCUUACAGAUUACAACAGAAACACGUACAACAAAGGCAAGAUCUAGAAGCAUCGAAUCUCCUUUGCUGUCGAUCACAAAACACCGCAGUAACUUCGCAAACUUAAAUAAUACGAAACACAACACUUUGAGCGACAGUGCUCGUAUUUAACCACCACAAAGCCCGACAAAGGCUACCUACGCGGCGGCGUUGCCGGUACCGGCGGUACGUAACGUUAGCACAAUGCCCGCACAUAGCAGUAAAUAAAAACAUGUUCUAAAAAUAAAUAAAAAACAUAUUCAUUUUCUAUACAAUACAUAAAAACAAAUCCACCUCGCAGCUAAGCCGGCAACAGACAGUCAGAACUUGUUGUACACAUCACGCUCCGCCUCACAUGCGUAAUAUUACAGAAAACAUCCGCAUUGAACGAACACGCAUUUGCACUAUUAUAAUCAUGCAUGUAGUCGUAAAUCGUAAUCACAAAAAAGUAAACACAUUAAAACUGUGUUACAUCUAUGAAAUAGCUGCAAUGCCCGCUGGAAGCUCCGUACUGUUAUCACCUUCGUCGGGGCCUUCUUUUUCUAGAUCUUCGUCAGAAAGAAUCGUAGGGCACAACGAGAAGGAUCCCUUAGGUAUGAACGUAGCUGACAUGACGCACACAGCAAUUAUCGUGAAAUGCACGCCGCCCACAUAAAUAAUUGCUUCGUGAACGUCUCCGCCGUUCGCACCGCCUGUUCGCGCGUAAACUUGGUCCAAGAACGCCAUGACCGCGCCCAGUGGGGAUACCGCCGACUUGGAUCCUUUGCCCAGUCGGGUCAGUGCUCCCUGGAUGUACGCCGAUAUGGAAACAUCGCCAGCGGCCCAUCCAAAUGAAAUCGGAAUAAAAGUUGCUGUAAAAAAACAGAGUGAUAUAAAUUUUCUGCUUGCGUAGUGGCACAGUAUAUGCGCACGCUGAAAGCUUGCAGUUUACUAGAAAAUAACUGUUUUCUAGUAAACUGUGACUAGUUUCUAGUAAACUAAAGAUCUUACUGUUGCUACGUAAGAUGUUACUGCAGGAAUCGUCUGGUAAGCGGUUACUUGAAAAUAACUGAUCAAACAUUUAGCAAUUUAGAAACUAGAUGUACUAAUUAACUAACUAGAUUGCACUUGUUCAAAGCGCAUAAUAAAUUUUAAUACUGUCUUUAAAUUUCUAUAUAUCUGUAUCUAUUUUUAUGCAGCAAUAUUUCAUAGCUUCACCAACAGAAAUAUUAUUUACCAGCAACCAUCCAAGCGUAUCUCACAUCACCAGCGGGAGGAUACCAGAAUGGUAGGUACCAAACAAUCAAUACAGUGAGUGAAUCUAUCCGUAGCCAUGGAAUGGGUGUCUUUACGUAAUUUGCCAAUAUAAACACUGUCGCAGCACCGCAUAAUUCGCCAAAAUUAGACCCACCGACCAUAACUUGCGACCAUGCCGACUCUCCUAAAUAUCGCUUGGCAAUGACAGGUGCUAAAGCAUUCUCCAAAAACCGGUGACCGUACAAAGCAACCGCAUAACCAUUAAACAGCCAUAUAAAUUUCCGGCUGGUGAAUAUUAUUUUUGCUCCGGUCCAUAUGGACGCAGCAAACAGAUAAAAUCCACCUACAAUGGCUUUAAUGUAACUAGGCUGUUGUUCGAGUUUGCCCAGUUUUUUCUUCUGGAAUCCUAAAUCGGAUAUAAACCACCAGGUGAUUGCUGCAGCGGUGUACAAAAGUGGUGUGAUAAUGAAGGACAUGUUGUUCCCCAGAGCUGGAAUUAAAGCCAGCGCGGUGGCAAAUGCGCCUAAUGUACCGCUAACUUCGUAGCAAAUGUGGACCAGUGAAUCCAUCCGGAUGAGCUUCUUCACAUCCCCACCGACAAUGUCUUUGGGAAUAACGCGCCUAAUUAACUCCACCAUGCCGUACGCGAUGCCGGUUACGCAGUAAAUCGGAAUAAUGCCAUCCGUAUAAUAUGUUCCGUAAUACGAAUAAUCCCCUUUCUUGUGCUUUGCCUCCCAAUCUGCCGGCUUAAUGUAACCACCUGUUGCUGCGUCAACAAUUAACAAAAUUGCUGUAAACAGUCCGAAAACGAAUACAGCCGCGGUGAGGACGGUUUUCGUGGGAAACCGUUGUAUUAGCGGAGCAAUUAGGAUGGAUCCGACACACUGCAGCGCCUGGUUGAGACCAACCAACAGGCCGACUCUUUCGAAUGUUUUUGCAGUGGUAUUGGUGCGAAUGGCAUCGUAAUCGUACCGAUUGGUAGCUAAUGCAAUGAUGGAUCCAUUGAACGCUUCCAAACCAAACUUAUACAAAGUAAUUCCCAAGAUGUAUAUAGCAAUAUUACGCUUUUCCAGCGGCGAGAAUGACCGCCAGGUUUCGCGAAUGGACGCUCUGACGUCAGGCAUCUUGUUUUCGUGUCGUUAACGUUGUAACGGCGAACGGAUUUCUCAACUACCUACAGAGUACAAGCAAAUUUUUCGGGCUUAUACUAUUUUUUCAGAGUCGGAUAACUGCAGAUAAUUAAGCAAAAACUAAUAAUUUACCAGCUAUACAUAUUGUGCAAUACAAUAAUACGGUUCGAGAGACCACGCGCACUUGAAUCAGCGGGGCCACCUUAUACACGUGGAAGUUAUUAAAAAACAAGAUUAUUUCAAUACUUUUAUUGGCAGAAUUUUAUGGAAUAAUUAUCUCAUGCAGUGAUCCAAAUCCUCUAUUAGCCAGUAAAUUACUUAAGA